rnacentral:rRNA from 1 species
UACGAGUGCCUCAAGCGUUAUCCGGAAUCAUUGGGCGUAAAGGGUGUGUAGGUGGUCUUGUUAGUCUCGCGUUAAAUUCUUCGGCUUAACCGGGGGCAUGCGCGGGAAACGGCAGGACUUGAGGAUGCAAGGGGUUACUGGAACUCUCGGUGUAGCGGUGAAAUGCGUUGAUAUCGAGGGGAACACCAAAAGCGAAGGCAAGUAACUGGGGCACUCCUGACACUGAAACACGAAAGCGUGGGUAGCGAAUGGG